UACCCCAACCAGGUGUUCGCCACUGUCAAACGCCCUUAGAAUUCUGUCAGUAAGUCUGACAAGAUGGUCAGUCGUUGACCGUCCCCUCCGAAAACCAGUUUGAUAAGGUACGUACACAUUGUAGUUUUCAAGAAGUGUUUGCAACCGCACAUUAACCAUUUUCUCAAGCAGUUUGCCCAAGUAAGAUGUCAAACUAAUAGGGCGAUAACUCUGUGCCAGUAGCGGAUCUUUUCCUGGUUUCGGUAUAGGGACGAUGACUGCCUGUUUCCAUUCUGAGGGAGGUACAGUGACGAAGCAUCUGGUUAUGGAUACCAUCAUGGCCUGGUGAGCAUGACUUGGUACUACGGAGUGCAGUCUCCAAUUCUUCCCGAGUAAAAGGUUUAGUGUCCAAAAAGGUGGGAGGAUAGUUAGAGGAGCUACUAACCUUGUAGAAUUGAUCAGCAAUAAUGUUACUUAUUUCUUGCAGAUCAUUUAUAAUAUUGCCCUCAGCGUUUCGCAGAAACGUCGGGUAAAUGAAACUGAUUUUACC